rnacentral:rRNA from 1 species
UCGAGAAUCUUCCGCAAUGGACGAAAGUCUGACGGAGCGACGCCGCGUGUGGGAUGAAGGCCUUCGGGUUGUAAACCACUGUCGGGGGAGCAAAUUUGAGCGAUCCCCGGAGGAAGCACAGGCUAAAUUCGUGCCAGCAGCCGCGGUAAUACGAAUUGUGCGAACGUUAUUCGGAAUCACUGGGCUUAAAGGGUGCGUAGGCGGCCAUGAAGGUCUGAUGUGAAAUCCCACGGCUCAACCGUGGAAUUGCGUUGGAAACCACAUGGCUUGAGUAGGACAGAGGUGAGCGGAACUGAUGGUGGAGCGGUGAAAUGCGUUGAUAUCAUCAGGAACACCGGUGGCGAAAGCGGCUCACUGGGUCCUAACUGACGCUGAGGCACGAAAGCCAGGGGAGCAAACGGGAUUAGAUACCCCAGUAGUCCCUGAGCGGGCUGGCAAGGCGCAU